GACGAACGCUGGCGGCGUGCUUAACACAUGCAAGUCGAACGGUAAGGCCCUUCGGGGUACACGAGUGGCGAACGGGUGAGUAACACGUGGGUGAUCUGCCCUGCACUUCGGGAUAAGCCUGGGAAACUGGGUCUAAUACCGGAUAGGACCACUGCCUGCAUGGGUGGUGGUGGAAAGCUUUUGCGGUGUGGGAUGGGCCCGCGGCCUAUCAGCUUGUUGGUGGGGUGAUGGCCUACCAAGGCGACGACGGGUAGCCGGCCUGGGAGGGUGACCGGCCACACUGGGACUGGGGGACGGCCCAGAGUCCUACGGGAGGCAGCAGUGGGGAAUAUUGCACAAUGGGCGCAAGCCUGAUGCAGCGACGCCGCGUGAGGGAUGACGGCCUUCGGGUUGUAAACCUCUUUCAGCACCGACGAAGCGCAAGUGACGGUAGGUGCAGAAGAAGGACCGGCCAACUACGUGCCAGCAGCCGCCGCCG
rnacentral:rRNA from 1 species